GCAGGCCGUGGGAGGCGGGGGCACACGGCUCCCACCCAAUCCCAGGCAUCUCGAAUCGCGGUGUUGCCCUUAGUUUCCUCAGGAACCGUUUUUUAACGGCUGGCGCAGCUGCUUCCCUAACUGGGGUCUUGCAGUGCAGGCGUGGUGUCUCUGCACUGCGCCCUGCAAGCAACUGAAACCCGGCCAAGCACAAAGGAAAAGAAAAGCUCCCUCCCAUCAUCAACUCAAGACCUAAGAUACCUGAAAAGCGUCUCUUCUCUCCUCCUUUUUCUUCCUCUGGCUGGUCCUGACCAGAGGGCCCUAGUGAGAGCGGCUCCUGAUGAUGUCAGGAUCUUCUUUGGAACCUGCAGCAUAAUUCAUUUUCCCCGGAAUGGAUGUGGAGCCUCCCGGUGCUUCCAAAUUGGGCUGCACCAACUCUGAGACGUCCGUGUUCCAUUUUCUCAACGUGCCAGUGAAUUGUCAAGACAAAGCUUUGUGUCAAGAUAGAGAAGCAUCUUUUUCCAGGCCUGCAUUUCUGGCUGGGAAACAGGAGCCCAAAUCCUAAAUGUGUCUAUUUGGUCAGCUUACAGUCCAAACAGCGAUUUUGGAAGUGUGGAGUUUGCAGAGCCUGAUGCCUCUCCUGACUCUCCUGCAGUUUAAAUCUGCACGGUUGUCACCAGUUACAGACUAUGGCAGAUGGCUUGCAGUGUGUAGAGGAGGACGAUGGGCAAGGAAUCAAAGAGAGAAAAGAGCAGCGCAUGUCCUGGUUCAGCUGCUCCAAGUUGCCAUUGAAAGUGCAUAAUUUCACCAGACUCUAGCCUCAAAAAUCCAUGGUCAAUUAAAAGCUGUCUCCGGUCAA